UCCUGAGCCUCCUCUGUCCCCG
rnacentral:miRNA from 1 species